rnacentral:rRNA from 1 species
GACGAACGCUGGCGGCGUGCUUAACACAUGCAAGUCGAACGAAGUGGCGAAAGGGUGAGUAACGCGUAAUCAACCUGCCCUUCAGAGGGGGACAACAGUUGGAAACGACUGCUAAUACCGCAUACUGAAGUAGGGGCUUUCGUCGGCUUAGCUAGGUGGAGGGGGAACGGCCCACCAAGGCGAUGAACAGUAGGCGGGCUGAGAGGAUGAAAGGCCAAAUUGGGACUGAGACACGGCCCAGACGCCUACGGGAGGCAGCAGUGGGGAAUCUUACGCAAUGGACGAAAGUCUGACGGAGCAACGCCGCGUGAGUGAUGACGACCUUCGGGUUGUAAAGCUCUGUUAAUCGGGACGCGGUACCGGAAUAGAAAGCCACGGCUAACUACGUGCCAGCAGCCGCGGUAAUUC